GACAGAAGCAGAGAAAGAGAGAGAGAGAGAGAGAGAGAGAGAGAGAGAGAGAAAGGGAGAGAGAGAGAGAAAGAGAGAGAGAGAAUGCCGGCAUCGCUUAACAGACAGCACUGUGUUACACAAACGCCUCUCUAUGCUCUUUUCCUCUCUCUCUCUCACAUAUACACACUACCUCUCGAACUUUCUGCCUCUCUCUCUCUCUCUUCCUCUCCGUCUAUCUCACUUUCAUUUUUUCUUCUCUCUCUCCCUCUUUUCUCUGUCUGUCUGUCUCUCUCUCUCUCUCUCUCUCUAUAGAUAUAUAUAUAUAUAGAGAGAGAGAGACAGACAGACAGACAUAUAUAUACAUUCUCUACCUUCUUUCCUAUCUACCUACCUACCUACCUACCUCUCUAUCUAUCUACCCACCUACCUCUCUAUCUAUCUAUCUAUCUAUCUAUCUAAUUAUCUGUCUAUCUAUCUAUCUAUCUGUCUGUCUGUCAGUCUCUCUCAUAAACGUCAGUUUAUGACAUCAUAAAAAAUAAAACUUACUUCAACUUCAUCAUUAAAAAAUGAAGAAAUCCUUAUAAAAAAAAAACGAAAUUAAGAAACCAUUAAAUAUAAUUUUUAAAAAGAAUCAUUAUUUCCAUUGCUAUUAUUGUAAAUAAUUCAUUAUUAUUAUUAUACUACUACUACUACUACUAUAGAGUUCUUAGUUUUGACUGAGUUUUCAACAACAGUUGUGCUGACUCAGGCAGUUUUCACCAUUAUUCAAAUUCGGUUCCAGCCAAAAAUAAAUUCCCCCUAAAAUGGUCUUUUUUCUUUUUUAUCAAGUAGAUGAUAUAUAUUUCUAAGAAUUUAUCGAGUGUUAAGUGUUUGAAUAACAACAACAACAAUAAUAAUAAUAAUAAUAAUAAUAAUAAAGCUUUUUUAAUGUUUUACGAGAUUUCUAAUAAUGACGACGGCGACCACGAUGAUGAUGGUGAUGAUGACGACCACGAAGACGACCAUGAUGACCACCACGACGAACGGUUACAAUGAUGGUGAUGACGGACGACGCUGACGAUGUUUAAGAUGACAACAAAGAUGAUGAUGCUGAUGAUAAUGAUGAUCAUGAUGAUGCUGAUGAUAAUGAUGAUCACCAAGAUGACAAAGAUACUGACGGUUGUUAUUAUUAUUAUUACGGCGAUGAUAAUGGUGCUGACAUGAUUACCAUUAUUCCGAUGAAGACGAUGCUUGUGGCAGAAACGAUGACAACGGAUCCAGAGAUAUGACGAUGAAGUACCGAGUAGAAAAAAAAAUGGCCAGUUUUCGACACCUGCUCUUCUUCGGUUUCAAAUAUGGUUCCAAAGUUGCCGAAGUCGCUCAAGACAUUUGUGCUGUGGACAAAGAAGGCACUAUUACUAAAAGAAUUCCACGGAAGAGCCAUUCGCAUGAACGUUUUUAGAAUGUCCAGAAAAGUCAUUAUAAACCUUUAUACGUAGGUUGAAAUGAGUCAUUUUCGACUAUACAUCGGUAUUGGGACGAUUUCUUUGGAAGAUAAUGAAAAUGUUUGUCUUGAAAAUAUCAUUCCAGCUUUGUCUUGCACAUCACAUCAAAUGAGAAUGGCGACCACAGACAUCGUUGUCCAGAAAAUUCAUUAGCAUGUUUUCGAAAUUUCAAAGUUAAUGUAAAUAAAAACCAUGAGGCUUUUUUAUGCUGUUCUGGAGAAAUUCA